rnacentral:rRNA from 1 species
CCUACGGGUGGCAGCAGUAGGGAAUCUUCCACAAUGGGCGAAAGCCUGAUGGAGCAACGCCGCGUGGGUGAAGAAGGUCUUCGGAUCGUAAAACCCUGUUGUUAGAGAAGAAAGUGCGUGAGAGUAACUGUUCACGUUUCGACGGUAUCUAACCAGAAAGCCACGGCUAACUACGUGCCAGCAGCCGCGGUAAUACGUAGGUGGCAAGCGUUAUCCGGAUUUAUUGGGCGUAAGGGGAACGCAGGCGGUCUUUUAAGUCUGAUGUGAAAGCGUUCGGCUUAACCGGAGUAGUGCAUUGGAAGCGGGGAGACGGGAGGGCAGAAGAGGGGAGUGGAACUCCAGGGGUAGCGGUGAAAUGCGUAGAUAUAUGGAAGAACACCAGUGGCGAAAGCGGCUCUCUGGUCUGUAACUGACGCUGAGGUUCGAAAGCGUGGGUAGCAAACAGGAGUAGAUACCCGGGUAGUC